CCUACGGUGGGCUGCAGUGGGGAAUAUUUCACAAUGGGGGAAACCCUUAUGCAGCGACGCCUCGUGAGUGAAGAAGUAUUUCGGUAUGUAAAGCUCUAUCAGCAGGGAAGAAAAUGACUGUACCUGAGUAAGACGCCCCGGCUAAAUACGUGCCAGCUGCCGCGGUAAUAUGUAGGGGGCAAGCGUUAUCCGGAUUUACUGGGUGUAAAGGGAGGGUUGACGGCAGCGCAAGGCUGAAGUGAAAUGCCGGGGCUUAACCCCGGAACUGCUUUGGAAACUGUGCAGCUAGAGUGCAGGAGAGGUAGGUGGAAUUCCUAGUGUAGCGGUGAAAUGCGUAGAUAUUAGGAAGAACACCAGUGGCGAAGGCGGCUUACUGGACUGUAACUGACGUUGAGGCUCGAAAGCGUGGGGAGCAAACAGGAUUAGAUACCCUGGUAGUC
rnacentral:rRNA from 1 species